rnacentral:sRNA from 1 species
CUGUCAGGGAAAAUGUAAGACUUCAGAACUCUUAAGAUUUCUAGGAAUACUAGAAUCCUAACAG